rnacentral:rRNA from 1 species
GAACCGUCCAAACGUUAUUCGGAAUCAUGGGGCUUAAAGGGGUGCGUAGGCGGCUUGGCAAGUUGGGUGUGAAAUCCCUCGGCUCAACCGAGGGAAUUGCGCUCAAAACUGCCUCGCUAGAGGGAGAUAGAGGUGAGCGGAACUUAUGGUGGAGCGGUGGAAUGCGUUGAUAUCAUAAGGAACACCUGUGGCGAAAGCGGCUCACUGGAUCUUUUCUGACGCUGAGGCACGAAAGCUAGGGUAGCGAACGGGAUUAGAUACCCCGGUAGUCCUAGCUGUAAACGAUGAGCACUGGGUUGGAGAGUCCUCCAUAGCUUUCCGGCCGAAGCGAAAGUGUUAAGUGCUCCGCCUGGGGAGUAUGGUCGCAAAGGCUGA